AGCAGUCGCCGCGGGAAUACGAAGGGGGCUAGCGUUGCUCGGAAUCGCUGGGCGUAAAGGGUGCGUAGGCGGGUUUUUAAGUCAGGGGUGAAAUCCUGGAGCUCAACUCCAGAACUGCCCUUGAUACUGGGAAUCUUGAGUAUGGGAGAGGUGAGUGGAACUGCGAGUGUAGAGGUGAAAUUCGUAGAUAUUCGCAAGAACACCAGUGGCGAAGGCGGCUCACUGGCCCAUAACUGACGCUGAGGCACGAAAGCGUGGGGAGCAAACAGGAUUAGAUACCCCAGUAGUCCCUGUCUCUUAUAC
rnacentral:rRNA from 1 species